rnacentral:lncRNA from 1 species
UACAGACACAACAUGCGCAGCCCAAAGCGCGAUGGCAACACUGAGAGCACACCCUCGACCCCUGCAGCUCACUGGUUCGAGGGUGCUCCUGUGAGAAGGUG